GUCUAAGGGGACUGAGCAAUGGAGGAUGGAGAAGGGGCCAUGUCAUACCACAUCAUCAUACCACAACUUGCACCUUAUAGCUCUGUUGCCACGGUAAUCAAAACAGACCAUUUCCUCGUGUCAACUUCGAGUGAGAGGCUUGUGGUUAGAGCAGGGCGCGAUGAUGAGUGGCGCCACAGAAGAGGAAAUCACAGAUAAAGGGGAAGAGGCAGUGAGAUGAGAAAGCUGGACAAUUAGACAUGAUGAGAGGGGCUCUGAUUUCCCUUGCCCUGUGCCUUCCUCACCUCUUCGCCACUCUUGUCCUCCAUUCCACCAUUGCGGCUUCACCGAGCGCCACAGAAACCACAACAUCAGUUCUAGACCUUAGUAUCAGCACUCCAACAUCAGACCCCCUGAUGCUUCCACUCUCCACAACUGAAAACCACCCUGAUAGGUCUAGUGGAACGGCUAAAACACAAUUGAAGAAAAGCACUCGCUUAGCAGCUGUCAACAACUCAGGCAGAACGACUCAAGGAAGAGGCAUUCUCAGAACAGGAACUGCCACUUACGCCACCACAGCCGUACAGAAGAGCAACAGGCACACAACUGCAGGAGACUUGAGGAAGGAAACAGAGAGCCACAAUCACCAUGAGACUCUUCCCUUCAGCAGACACACAGCCUCACCCACAACUGACCACCCCAGCACCACCACUCUCCCCAGGGAGGAAGGGACUGAGUAUCAUGACAGCAGCAACAUUGAAAUAGCCAGAGAACUGAACACACCAAAUUCCAUAGAGAGUUGGGCUGCUGACACCAGUAAUGACUCCAAGCUAGCGAAGCCACACUUAGACAGAUCACAAGCAGCAGACCAGCACACUGCUACACAAGGACUAGAGACUGCUUCAGGAGAUUACCACACAACACAGAGAGACUUCUUCACAAUCACCCCAACUAGUAGAGCAUCAGGUUUGAACAGAGGUAAACAAAGUAAGGCCAACAGCGUCGCAACAACAACGACGGUUUCACCUACGUACACAGUCACACGUCCUGGUUUGUAUGAGCACAUGACCGUGACUUACAGGGCUACCGGCUACAAAACACAACCUGACGACACAAGCCAGUCUAAGGACUACACCACAGCCACAGUUUCGAUCCCCCAUGCUGACAAUAGCACAGCUCCAUAUAUCAAUGCAAACACAUUUACAGAUAAUAACACAGACAACUACACAGACACACUUUCAUACAGUAAUACCACAACCUCUAAUAAUUGUAACACAACAGUACAUUUGAAUAAGAAAACUCAUACUCAUUCCCUCGGACACAACCACACAAUCUCAGGCUAUGACAACAGGCUGAACAACACAACUGAAAACAAUGUGCAUCAUCGUCCUGAGUGCGGAGAGGCAGAUGAAAGGUCCCCACCAUUGCCUCCUGGCUCUACUAGACUGGUCUGUUUCAUUGUUCUGUGGGCUCUGGGAUUGACUGCUUCGGUCUUCCUUGGUCUCACCGUCUUCCUAUCUGUGCGUUUGCCAGUCCAGAGAGAGAGGGAGAGGAGAGUGAGGAGUGGAGGAGAGAAGGUGUCAGGGGUGGAUCUGGAGAAUCUGUGGGUUGACCAGAUAUCAUCGGUGGAGGAGAGGGUGGAAUUCUGGUACGCCAACGGCUCCACCAUGGGACCCGGCCAUAAACGGAGGGAGAGAGGGAGGGAGAGGGGGAAGGAGAGGGGGAGGAGGGAGCAGGGGAGGCAGAAAGGGGUAGAGUGUGACAACCUGUGGACUCAACCCAAAGUGACACUGGAGGACAUCACUGAUUUCUGGUAUGCAAAUGGAAGCGCGAUACCAGAAGAAACUACAGACCAAACAUUGUUGGAGACCUGUGUAUGAUUCAGUUUUUUGUACUACAGUGCUACAAUAUACCUGGAAUUACUUUGGAGAGAAAUGUUCAUGCUUAGUUCACCAAUUCCAUGGCAGAUUUGAAAACUAUAAUCCUGACAGAGUUGAAACAUUUCCAAUAUGAAUUGAUAAUCUGUAUGUUUAUUGGCUGUAACAAAAGUAUAAGAUCUACAUAAGUCUACUGAAAGACAGAUUAAGCCUGGGUCUGAUCAGAGAGAGAGGAAUAGAGAGAGAGAUUAGAACAACAUGUCUAACUGGAAAUAACACUUGAUAAGAGAGUUCCCAUUUUAAGACAAUUCAGACCUUGUUAGUGACACAUCAUCGUCAUGUGUCAAACAGCAACGAAGAGAAAGGUGCCAUUUCUACAAACACACCGAGACAAAUACUGUUGACUCCUAAUACUGUACAUGCACUGUUAUCAGGAGCUAGUCAAAAUAAAAAAGGAUUGGUGAACUGCACUGGGCAUAAACAAUUUAGCUUAAUUUAUCUGACUGACACGUUUUCAUGCGUACUGUAUUCCAGAUAAUAGCUUAGUUAAGGUCUUAUUAUAGAUAAGCUGUUUAAAUACAAUUUGAUUUGAUUUGAUUUGAAAGGUGUAUGUCACAUUCACGUGUUUAGCAGAUGGUAUUGCAGGUGUAGCGAAAUGCUUGUGUUUCUAGUUCCAAUAGUGCAGUAAUAUCUAACAAGUAAUAUCCACAAUCUAAAGUAAAGGAAUGGAAAUAAGAAUAUAUAAAUAUUUGGAAGAGCAAUGUCAGAGUGGCAUAGACUAAGAUACAGUAGAAUAUGAUAGAAUUUAGUAUUUACAUAUGAGAUGAGUAAUACAAAAUAUGUAAAAGUGGCCAGUG
ensembl:lncRNA